GAAAUGCGAUAAGUAAUGUGAAUUGCAGAAUUCAGUGAAUCAUCGAAUCUUUGAACGCACCUUGCGCUCCUUGGUAUUCCUUGGAGCAUGCCUGUUUGAGUGUCAUGAAAUCUUCAAAGUAAAUCUUUUGUUAACUCAAUUGGUUUCUACUUUGGUAUUGGAGGUCUUUGCAGCUUCACACCUGCUCCUCUUUGUUCAUUAGCUGGAUCUCAGUGUUAUGCUUGGUUCCACUCGGCGUGAUAAGUUAUCUAUCGCUGAGGACACUGUAAAAGGUGGCCAAGGUAAAUGCAGAUGAACCGCUUCUAAUAGUCCAUUGACUUGGACAAUACUUUUAUGAUCUGAUCUCAGAUCAGGUAGGACUACCCGCUGAACUUAAGC
rnacentral:misc_RNA from 1 species